rnacentral:rRNA from 1 species
UAAGAGGAUUAGUGGCGAACGGGUGAGUAACACGUGAGUAACCCGCCUUACACAAGGGGAUAGCCUUUGGAAACGAAGAAUCAUACCCUAUAAAGUUAGUCAAUCGCAUGGUAGACUAACCAAAGAUUUAUCGGUGUAAGAUGGACUUGCGUCUGAUUAGCUAGUUGGUGAGAUAAAAGCCCACCAAGGCGACGAUCAGUAGCCGGCUUGAGAGAGUGUACGGCCACAUUGGGACUGAGACACGGCCCAAACUCCUACGGGAGGCAGCAGUGGGGAAUUUUGCACAAUGGGGGAAACCCUGAUGCAGCGACGCCGCGUGAUUUAGAAGGCCUUCGGGUUGUAAAAAUCUUUUUUAUGGGAUGAAAAUGACAGUACCAUAAGAAUAAGGUCCGGCUAAAUACGUGCCAGCAGCCGCGGUAAUACGUAUGGACCGAGCGUUGUCCGGAAUCAUUGGGCGUAAAGGGUACGUAGGCGGCCUAGUAAGUUAGAAGUGAAAUAAUAUAGCUCAACUAUAUAAAGCUUUUAAAACUGUUAGGCUUGAGAGAUGAGAGGGAAAGUGGAAUUCCUAGUGUAGCGGUGAAAUGCGCAGAUAUUAG